rnacentral:rRNA from 1 species
UACGUAGGGUGCAAGCGUUGUCCGGAAUUAUUGGGCGUAAAGAGCUCGUAGGCGGUCUGUCGCGUCUGCUGUGAAAACUCGGGGCUUAACCCCGGGCCUGCAGUGGGUAUGGGCAGACUAGAGUGCGGUAGGGGAGACUGGAAUUCCUGGUGUAGCGGUGAAAUGCGCAGAUAUCAGGAGGAACACCGGUGGCGAAGGCGGGUCUCUGGGCCGUAACUGACGCUGAGGAGCGAAAGCGUGGGGAGCGAACAGG